ACGAGGGGUGCAAGCGUUACUCGGAAUUACUGGGCGUAAAGCGUGCGUAGGUGGUUCGUUAAGUCUGAUGUGAAAGCCCUGGGCUCAACCUGGGAAUGGCAUUGGAUACUGGCGACCUAGAGUGCGGUAGAGGGUGGCGGAAUUCCCGGUGUAGCAGUGAAAUGCGCAGAUAUCAGGAGGAACACCGGUGGCGAAGGCGGGUCUCUGGGCCGAUACUGACGCUGAGGAGCGAAAGCGUGGGGAGCGAACAGGA
rnacentral:rRNA from 1 species